rnacentral:rRNA from 1 species
UACGAAGGGGGCUAGCGUUGCUCGGAAUUACUGGGCGUAAAGCGUGCGCAGGCGGUUUUUUAAGCCAGGUGUGAAAUCCCCGGGCUCAACCUGGGAAUGGCAUUUGGGACUGCAAGGCUGGAGUGUGGCAGAGGAGACUGGAAUUCCUGGUGUAGCAGUGAAAUGCGUAGAUAUCAGGAGGAACACCGAUGGCGAAGGCAGGUCUCUGGGCUGACACUGACGCUCAUGCACGAAAGCGUGGGGAGCAAACAGG